rnacentral:rRNA from 1 species
CUCAGAACGUACGCUGGCGGCACGCCUAACACAUGCAAGUCGAACGCAGUAGCAAUACUGAGUGGCAAAUGGGUGAGUAUAAUGUGGGAAUCUGCCUUUUGGUUUGGAAUAACACGGGGAAACUUGUGCUAAUACCGAAUAAGCCCUUACGGGGAAAGUUUUAACGCCGAAAGAUGAGCCCGCACUUGAUUAGCUAGUUGGUAAGGUAAAAGCUUACCAAGGCAAUGAUCAAUAGCUGUUCUUAGAGGAAGACCAGCCACAUUGGGACUGAGACACGGCCCAGACUCCUACGGUAUUUUGCAGUGGGGAAUCUUGCACAAUGGGGGAAACCCUGAUGCAGCGAUGCCGCGUGAGUGAAGAAGGCCCUUGGGUUGUAAAACUCUUUCGUCGGGGAAGAAAAUGACUGUACCCGAAUAAGAAGGUCCGGCUAACUUCGUG